AAAAAGGCUCAAUUCGAACCAAGUCUCAGAGAGAUUACAAAAACAACAUUUUAAAAACAGAGAAACUAGACAAACUAUCAAAAGAGUAUUACAGAACAAGAAGACGGGUUGGUUGGUUACUUGGAAACUUUCUUCUUCCCAGCAAUUGCAACCUUCUUACCUUUAAGAGUCCUGCAGUUAUUCUUAGUUCUCUGUCCCCUACAUGGCAACCCUUGGAUGUGCCUUACUCCACGGUAACACUGAAUCUCCUUCAACCUCUUGAUAGCAAGCGCAUUAAAUCUCCAAUACACAAAACACAAAUGAAUUCUCAAUGGCCUAAUGAACAUUUGCUACAUGCUGGAAAAAAAGCAAAUAUACCAGAUCACCCUCGAUCAUGUACUUGGAGACUUCAUCACGAAGAACGAUGAGCUCUUCCUCAGCCAUGUCUUUGGUGAUCUUGUUCUCCAUUUGAAGAUCAACGAGGAUCUGUCGAGCUCUAGUUCUGCCAAUCCCGUCAAAUCUCUUAGAAACACAAAGAAUUAUAAGAACAACUUUUCUUAUUAGCUUUAGAAACUACUCAAAACUAAAGCUCUCAAUAUGUUUCUCUUAGAUCAUAUGGAACACCUCUCCAUUAGACCUAUAUUUAUAUGAAAGACAAUUCCCUUUAACAUGUGGGAUAUGGAAAACACAAACCUAACCUAAAUAGAAACUUCCUUUUCCUAUUUCUAGGUUUCCUUAUUGUGUUUAUCUUAACAUAUUAAACAUCUAAUAAUAUGUUAAGUUUCCACAAGCUUGGAAUUAUCCAACAUUCACCCCCUUAAUUCCAACUUGAAUUAGGGAGAUCAAUUUCUUGAACUCCGAUUAAGCUCCUCAUUUGCUUGAACAUAAUCCUUGCUAAUGGCUUGGUAAGGAUGUCGGCCUUCUGCUCAACACCCGGCACAUGCUCCACUUCGAUAUGCCCGUUCUCCACACACUCACGAAUGAAGUGAUAUUUCUUGAGUACAUGCUUACUCCUUCCAUGGAAAACUGGAUUCUUGGUUAGAGCAAUGGCUGAUUUGUUGUCGAUCCUAAGCUUGACUCUCUCGCCUUCUUUGCUUAGUAUCUCACUCAACAAUUCCUUGAUCCAUAUAGCUUGCUUCGCUGCUUCUGUUGCUGCCAUGAAUUCUGCUUCGCAUGAUGACAAUGCAACCGUCUGCUGCUUCUGCGACGUCCAAGUAAUCAGUGAUGAACCGUAGUAGAAUGCAUGUCCUGACGUGCUCCUCCCGUCAUCGAGAUCAAUGUUGUGACUGCUGUCACUAUAACCAACGACACUCCUUGACCCAUCUCUCUUGAAGAACAGACCGAAGUUUGUUGUUCCUUUCACAUACCGCAGUAUGUGCUUGAUGGCUUGUCCGUGAGAGUUUCUCGGAUUGUGCAUGUAUCUGCUAAGAACACCUACUGCGUAACACAGGUCGGGUCUUGUGUGAAGCAGAUACCUCAAACAUCCUAUGAUUCUUCUGAACUCGGUAGCAUCUAUCUCUUGUUCAUCUUCAGCUUUUGAGAUCUUCAAAUUCGCCUCCAUUGGAAUUUGAGUUGCGUUACACGCUUCCAUCUUUGUGUCACGCAGGAUUCCUUGAGCAUACCUCUCUUGUUUUAUUCUGAUUCCGUCUGCUCCUUGAAUCACCUCUAUGCCAAGGUAGUACGUUAGCUUACCUAGAUCUGACAUCUCGAACUUCUUAGACAUCUCCUCCUUGAAUUGCCUAAUCACCUUAAGUGAAGUCCCUGUCACAAAUAGAUCAUCAACGUAGAUGGCAAUGAUCAAGACGUCUCCUCCUUCAGUCUUGCAGUACACUGAUGGUUCCUUCGUGCACUUCUCAAAUCUUAUCUCCUUGAGAACCUGAUCGAGUUUUACAUUCCAUGCCCUGGGUGCCUGGCGUAACCCAUACAAAGCCUUGUGUAACACAUAUACUCGAUCCUCUUCUCCUUUCUUUUCGAAACCUUCAGGUUGAGUUACAUACACUAACUCCUUUAGAUCUCCAUUCAAGAAAGCGGUCUUCACGUCCAUGUGAUGUAUCUCCCAACCGUUCGUUGCUGCGAGGGCUAUUAAGAGUCGAAUGGUUUCAAGUCUUGCCACUGGUGCAAACACUUCGUCGAAAUCUAUUCCUUCUCUUUGUACAUAGCCUUUUGCCACAAGUCUCGCCUUAUACUUGCUCACUGUACCAUCCGCCUUUCUCUUGAUCUUGAAGAUCCACUUCAACCCUAUGGGUUUCACUCCAGCCGGUCUAUCCACAAGUUUCCAUGUCUUGUUUCUUGUGAUAGACUCCAACUCGGCCACCAUCGCUUCAACCCAUUCUCGUACGUGUUCAGCUUCAAAAUAGUUCUCUGGCUCGCCAUCCACUGUGAGCAACAGCAUUGCACUUUCUUGAUCUGCAAGUAACACAUAAUCAUCGAGAUAUCUUGGUUUUGUUAUGGUUCGGCCUUGUCUGGUCACCAGCGGUUGACCUCCACCGUUUUGGUUUGCAUUGUGAUCCGCAUCUUCUUCUUCUUCCUCAUCUUGGUUUAUAGCUUCCUGUUCAUGAUCCUCACCUUGAUCAUUACCUUCUUCUAUAUCACCCUCAUGUGGAAGCUUAAGCAUGCUCGGUUCACAAUCAUCUUGGUUUGUUGUAGACGCCCAGUCCCAAGCUUUCUCUUCAUCGAAAAUCACAUCUCUACUCACCAUCACCUUCCUUGUGUCUGGAUCAUAAAGUCUGUAGGCUUUGGAACCCGGCUCAGUUCCAAGAUUGACCAUACUCUUUGAUCUCUCAUCCAACUUCUUCAGAUAAGGACCAGUGAUUUUCGCAUGAGCUACACAACCGAAUAUCCUCAAGUGCUUGAUAUUUGGUUUCCUCGAUGUAAGGCACUCGUAUGGUGUUUGAUUCUUCAAGGCUUUUGUAGGAACUCUGUUGAUGAGGUAAGUUGAAUGUCGUACAGCUUCACCCCACAAGUAGUUCGGCAUCUUCAUUGCCUUCAGCAUACUUCUUGUCAUUCCCAUCAAGGUUCGGUUUCUCCUCUCCACAACACCGUUUUGUUGAGGUGUGUAAGGCGCGGUUAGGUGCCUUUUAACUCCAUUCUCUUCACAGAAUAGAUUGAACUCAGCUGAGGUAAACUCUCCUCCUCUAUCGGUGCGAAAGGUUUUGAUGGUUGACCCGGUCUGCUUCUCUACACUCUCUUUAAACCUUUUGAAUCGAUCGAAUACCUCACUCUUCUCCUUCAAUAGCAUAACCCACAUAUACCUAGAGAAGUCAUCGAUCAAUACAAAGACAUACUUAUUAUUUGCAGGCGUUGGUGGUGUGAUUGGACCACACAAAUCUCCAUGCAAUAACUCUAAUGGCUUUGUCGCACGAAACAUGGCUUUGGUCGGGAAUGACUGUCUGAUCUGCUUUCCUGCGAGACAUGCGUCACACACGCUUUCUUCGUGUGUUACACACGGCAUUCCUACGACCAUCUCCUUCCUUACCAUGUUGUUCAUCACUCCAUAGCUUAUAUGUCCUAGUCGAGCAUGCCACCUCCAUGUAGCAUCUACGUCCCUGACAUGUAAACACUCCGGGUAGCUUAUCUCCAUAGGGGUCUUGUAGAGACGGUUUGGAGAUCUUGUCACACGAACUAGCAACCUUCCAUGCGAAUCUGUGAGCGUUAAGUAGACAUCUUUCAUGUUAACCUCACAUCCGUUCUCUGUUGCUUGCCCAAGACUCAAUAUAUUGUGCUUCAGAUCGGGUAUGUAGUAUAUGUCCUUGAGUGCCUUCUUCUCUCCAGUCUUGCACACAAAGGUAACCACACCCUUUCCUACAAUGUCAACACACGAUCCAUCACCAAACUUCACCUUCCCUUUGGUGUUGAGAUUCAAACUCGAAAAGAACUCCUUGUUCCCUGUCAUGUGAUUGCUCGCUCCAUUAUCCAAAUACCAGACACUUGCAUUGCCUUUGUCGAUAUCAAGAUUCUUCGGAAUCACCUUAUCUUCAUUCAAAAACACCACCUCGUGUACAUAGAGUGCAUCAGCCUCUUCUGUCUCGUUUAGGUUAGUUUCUUGAUUCUUCUCUGUCUUUUCGGGACAGACAGUUGCGUAGUGACCAGGCUUGUCACAUCUCCAACAUAUCAGCUUUGAACGAUUCUUCUUCGAGUUGUUAUCUUCGGUGUGUGACGCACGGUUUUGGUUGUGUGACCUACCUCGACCUCUGCCUCUACCGUUCCGUCCUCUUCCUCUACCACGGGAAUUCUCAUAGCCCCUCUGACUAUGCUCUUCAUUGUUCGAAAACAUCAGCUUCCCUUGGUCUUCUUUCUGAGUUUCUUCUCCUACACGCUCCUCGUACGCCUUAAGCCUUCCUACUAUGUCUUCAAACCCCGUCGAGUUGAGAUCUAGGACUUGCUCAAGUGAUGCUACGAUCUGGAUAUACUUGUGUCUUGGAAGACCCUUCAAGAACUUCUUGACCAUCUUGGAUUCUUCUAUGUUUUCUCCCAACGAGGUUGCUUUGGAUGAUAGGCCCGAUAUCUUCCCCGCGAAGUCAUCGACCGUAUCUGAAUCAUCCAUCUUCAACCUGUCAAACUCCGCCAUCAACGUCUGAAGUCUCGCCUCCCUUACACGAUCAGCUCCUAGGUGUCGCGACUUGAUGGCGUUCCAGAUCUCUUUUGAUGCGGUUUGUUCUCCCACCUGGAGAAUCAAUGUUUCGGGAACAGAUUGAAACAAAAGAGCUAUCGCAACAUCGUUCUUCUUUUGAUCAUCUGAACCAGGUUCGAUUGUGUCCCACACUUCAUGAACACGUAGUAGAACCUUCAUCCUCAUCGACCAAACUGUGUAGUUUGUCGAUGACAACAUCGGACAUUGGAUGGAUGUAGAUCCAAAGUCCUUCGUGCGUGGAGCCCUAGUCACGUCAGCCAUCUUGCCGUCGCGAUCUCUUGUUCACAAGCACCAGGAUCUUAAGCUACAACUUAAGCUUAGAUCGAGUCUCCAACCUGGCUCUGAUACCAAUUCAAAUCUCUUAGAAACACAAAGAAUUAUAAGAACAACUUUUCUUAUUAGCUUUAGAAACUACUCAAAACUAAAGCUCUCAAUAUGUUUCUCUUAGAUCAUAUGGAACACCUCUCCAUUAGACCUAUAUUUAUAUGAAAGACAAUUCCCUUUAACAUGUGGGAUAUGGAAAACACAAACCUAACCUAAAUAGAAACUUCCUUUUCCUAUUUUUAGGUUUCCUUAUUGUGUUUAUCUUAACAUAUUAAACAUCUAAUAAUAUGUUAAGUUUCCACAAGCUUGGAAUUAUCCAACAUCCCGUGAAUGUACUGGAGAGAGUAUUCGAUUCUCUUGUUGCUAGGAAUCUCCACACCUGAUGCUUAGACUCUGCUGCUUCUGCAUCUCAAGAUGAAACCCAAACGCUAAAAAAACAUACUUUAAUCACGCGAGAGAGAGAAAGAGGGAGUCUUUGAGAGGUUAUUACAACAUUGGGAGUGUUUGAAGGUGGGAGAGCGAGAGUGUUGCGAGAGAGAGGACUGGGUUUUUCCCAGUUGCUACUGAGUGGGCAUCGCGACCAUCUGCGCCAUUUUUUU
rnacentral:lncRNA from 1 species